ensembl:lncRNA
ACAAGUUCAAAUAAGGCUCUUCAGUUAUUUAUUCUCUACUUUAUGGGUUUUGCUUGCUGGUAAUUUUUGUCAUUUGAAUGUCAGUCUCUCUCUCUGAGUGCACAAAGGAGAUUGCUGUCAGUACUUACAUCUGAAUCUGCCAGCAAUCCCUGGUUGGGAUUUAUCCCAUGGCUUAAGUUAUGCAAGCGUAAAUUAGACACAGCCAGAGCAGAGGACGUGGAACAGGCAGCUCACAGCUUCAGCUUCUCUGUGUGUUACAGCCUCUGCACAUCCAUUCUGGUUACUGAGAGCGCUAUGUCAGCACCCUUAGACAUGCAUGGAUUGCAGACAAAAGCUCUGAUCUUCUGUCAUCGAGGGAUACUCCUGCACCAGUGCCAGUAAACGCCACUGGUUUUGGUGGCCGAGGGCAAGACGAGGUGAUGUCCAGAGAUGAUUUAGAUUCAGAAUCGUGGCAAAGCACAGAAGGAGUCUGUUUUCGGGUAGAUGUAAUGACAAUGAAGAAGACUAAAAUAUGGAAGUUAACCAGGUGUCUGGAGUUUCCUGAAGUCUUUAAGAAACCCAUUCCUGAGGUCAGUGCCUCUGGCUUGGCUUCAGAGUAGGCAGAGUAGGAGAGACUGCGACCAAGGCAUUUCCCUUUUUUCUUUCUGGUGGAUGUAGGAGGUCUCACUUCCCUGUUGAGCAAGGGAUCAGUUUUCAUUCUGGAAACAAGUCUGGCAGCAGCAGGAUGUAUGAGCUAUGGGAUCACAGUUUUGGAAAGUCUUCAGUGACAUUUCUCCAUUCUUAGCACAUCAUUUAAUGACAGCACUUGAUGGCCAGGUCCUAAAUCCAGCACCCGCUCUCAGAAGUCUGGUGAGGCAUUGCAUAUGUGUGGGCAUGAAGCUAGGGGAGUGCUCUCGAGCCGUAUCUUGGACUACUUGUGGGGAGCUGCUUUUCUCAGAGUGCUCCAAUCCCAUGGUUAUUCUAACUUCCACAGAGUAACAUUAAGUUUUAAAAGGGAGCUUCUCUCCUCCUCCUAGCAUUUCCAAGUCUUACUUAUUCUGCUCCCAGGAUGGCCAGUCCAGGCACUCACCCAGGAUCAUACCUUAAAGUUCCCAUUCAGCUCCUUUGCUAGCGUCUGGGCCUGUGCAUUACAUUGCACCAAAC